UCCUACCAGUAGUCAUAUGCUUGUCUCAAGGAUUAAGCCAUGCAUGCCUAAGAGUAAAUGGAUUCAUAGUAGGUCUGCGAAUGGCUCAUUACAACAGCAACAAUCUACCCGAUGAAGUGGGAUGUAACAGUCCCGCCAGACGGAUAACCUCUGUAACUCAGAGGCUAAUACGUGUACGAAGAAUGUAUCCUCAUCAAAGGCGGUUUGGUGAAAGCUAGAUCGCCGAGGGUGCAUGCAGUUGGCCGAUACAAAAACCAACGCUCGCAAGAGCAGUGUCUAACAUUGAUGAAGCAGGCUAACCAUCAGCGAUAGCGCAUCGACCUCGAGUCGGCGCGAGAUCGGACGAACUUCUGCCCUAUCAGCUGCGAUGGUAAUGUAGUGGAUUACCAUGGCUUUUACGGGUAACGGAGAAUCAGGGUUCGAUUCCGGAGAGGCCGCCUGAGAAACGGCGACCACGGCUAAGGCCGGCAGCAGGCGCGCAAAUUGCCCAAUUUCAACACUGAAGAGGCAGCGACGAGAAAUAGCAACUCUGCUGCUCACACGAGCUGUGGAGAUUGCAAUGGAUGAUAUCUAAACCCAUCAAUGAACACGAUUGGAGGGCAAGUCUGGUGCCAGCAGCCGCGGUAAUUCCAGCUCCAAUAGCGUAUACUAAUGCUGUUGCAGUUAAAAAGCUCGUAGUUGGAUUCAGGCUUGGAUGUUGCAGAGAGGCCCUUCGCUUCGCCCACGGCUGGUGGUUCUGCCAUUCAGUCGUGAUUGGCGUAGUGUUGUGGAUUCAACCCCUCUGCGUUCGACAUCCAGCCUUCAGACACGGGACUGAUAUUUUCUAGCCCUGCUGAAGCCUCCUUCACUGGUGGUGGAAGCGAUUCCGCACAAGACUUGUGCAUACGGGCCGCCCGUGGAUGUUACUGUGAACAAAACAGCGUGUCCAAAGCAGCCGACUUGUUCGGUUGAAUGUCUAAGCAUGGAAUAACAAGGGAUCGACCGUCAGGUCUCCUUUUUGUUGGUUUUCCUGACCUGAAUACUGGGCAAUGCAGGCCGAUGUAUCUGUUAUCGGGGUUAAUGGUUUCCUUGCUCUCAAGGCAUGGUUGCCAUCCCUGUUUCAGAUCUCGCGCCUAUCGGGAUCAAUAGGAGCUAACGGGGGGAUAGGUACUGUGACGCUAGUGGUGAAAUACUUAGACCGUCACAUGACCAACUACUGCGAAGGCAUUUCUCAAGCAUGCUUCCAUUAAUCAAGAACGAGAGUGUGGGGAUCGAAGAUGAUCAGAUACCGUCGUAGUC
rnacentral:rRNA from 1 species